CAAACCCUCACCCUUUUCUUUUACCAGAGCCCUCUCUCUCUCUCUCUCUCUCUCUCUCUCUCUGCUCAGUGUUGUUGUACAAACCGAAACCCUAGAUUCUCUGAAAUUUCAGAACCCAAUCCAAACCCUAAGCUCUCUCUCUCUCUCUUUAUUGCCUCUCCACCACCGCUGCUUCAAUCCUCACCUUUCUCCGAUCUCCGGCUUCCUCUCCUCACUUCUCGAACCUCUUUCUAUGGCGGACGGCAAGCUCGAUCUCCCCAACGAUCUCCUCUCCUCCAAGCCCUCCGAUCAGUCCUGGACCUCCAAAGUUCAAGUUUCUAAAGCCAAUGAUGAGGAAAAGGUGCAUAUGGGGUCAGCUGAUGAGUUGAAAGAUCCAGCUGCCUUGGAUAGCGGCAUACCUUUAUCACCGCAGUGGCUUUAUGCCAAGCCAAUUGACUCUAAGUUGGAAAUGCGUGGUCCAACUUCUCUCGGAAACUCCACUGAUAGCAACCAGAAGGAAGUAUGGCGGUCAGAUGGUUCUGAGGACAAAAAAGAUUGGAGGCGGCCUGCUACUGAGAGUGAAAAUAGCCGUCGUUGGCGGGAAGAGGAAAGAGAAACUAGCUUGCUUGGUGGUAGAAGAGAUCGUAGGAAAACGGAACGCCGUGCUGACAACAUUCCAUUGAGAGAGGCAACUGAUAGUAGGACAUUGCCUACAACUGAUAGGUGGAGUGAUGGCCGCAAUGAAGUACGGCGUGAUAGCAAAUGGUCGUCAAGGUGGGGUCCUGAAGAGAAAGAAAAGGAGUCCCGAACUGAGAAGAGAACCGAUGUGGAGAAGGAUGAUGUUCACAGUAACAUUGAGAGUCAGUCUCUUGGAGCUAAUAAUCGUUCAGCUGCUGAGCGUGAGUCAGAUUCUCGGGAUAAAUGGAGGCCACGCCAUAGAAUGGAGGUUCAAACUGGGGGGUUGGCUACUUACCGUGCUGCACCUGGAUUUGGAAUAGAAAAAGGACGAGUGGAGGGUUCAAAUUUGGGAUUUGCCCUUGGGCGAGGAAGGUCAAGUGGUAUUGGGAGAUCCGCAGGUACCAUUUUGUCUGCUCUUUCAGGAAAAAGUGAUAGUGUCCCUGGGAAACCAAGGCGCUCUGUUGAUGAUUUUCGCUACCCAAGGGGAAAGCUUCUUGACAUUUAUCGGCAGCGAAAGCCUGAACUAUCUUUUGAUACCAUGCCAGAGGCGAUGGAGGAGUCGCCUCCACUAACUCAAGUUGGGUUUGUUAAACCAUUGGCUUUUCAUGCCCCUGAUGCUGAUGAGGUGGCCAUCCUUAGCGAUAUAUGGAAGGGAAAGAUAACAAGUAGUGGGGUAGUAUACAAUUCAUUUAGAAAGGGAAGAUCAACUGAAAAUGUUACAGGUGUGGGAGACUCAGAAGCUGCUGAUGGAGUUCUGGGCAAUUUGCCCCCAACUGUCGCUCAAGAGACUAACACCUAUCAAGAGGCUGCAAAUGCUGAUGACUAUGGGACUUUGUGGAAUUAUGGUUCACACAGGAAUAUGAAAAAUGAAAAAGAUGUUAGUCAUAAAGAAAGUGAUAACAUAGGUACUGAAGGAAAGGAUUUUGAUGGAAUGCCCCUAUCAAUUCCAAAAAGUAAUGGUAUCUUUGGUGAUGUGGGGACUGGUGGUUCUUAUGAUAGUGCAAAUCAGCUUCCUGCUUGUGGCAGUAUGAAAGUCAAAGAUUCUUCCUCUCCCAAUCAUCCUGUAUCUGAGGACAUUGAGUUUGCCAAUUAUUCUGAUGUAAGAUCCAAGCUUCCCGAUGUUUCAAAUACUCUCUAUGGUUUGGCCUCUUCUGAGCAGAAUGACCUUAGAGCAAAAGAGUUAGAAAUGGAUGUUCAUCCUGAGGGUUUGUCGUACUUCUACCUUGAUCCUCAAGGGGUGACCCAGGGGCCAUAUCAGGGUUUAGACAUCAUUUCAUGGUUUGAACAAGGUUUCUUUGGGACAGACUUGCUUGUUCGUUUGGAGGAUGCUCCUGAAGGAACACCUUUCAUAGAGUUGGGAGACUUUAUGCCACAUCUUAAAUCUUGGGAUGGAAAUGGUAGCAUCAUAAAUUCAAGUUCUAAUAUAGAAGAAUCUGGUGGCUUAGGAGGAGGCAGUUUACCCUUUACUGCAGCAGUUUCAGACAGUAAUUAUACAUUUUUGGGAAAUGACCAUCAGCGGCCCUUGUGGGAAUUAGACAGCUAUUCAGCUGAGCAUAUUCAGCCAAGAAUUUCUGAGCCUGAAGCUCCAUUACAACUACAUUCAAGGGGUCAAAGCUUUAAUGAUUUUGUUGAACAAGAUGAAGAUAUUGUGUUUCCUGGAAUUAAUGGAACCACUGCCUAUUCUACUGCACGUUCUUCUGGGAGCAUUCAUGAUCCUAUGGCAAACUCUAUGAAUCACCUUCCUCCCACAAAUGAAUUGACAGAAUCUGGUGUGCCUAUUCAGAAUGAUAGGUUGCAUCCCUUUGGGUUGCUAUGGUCUGAGCUAGAAAGUGGCCAAUCAAAGCAAUCCAAGUUGGCCAAUAUGCCAUCUAGUAAGGGGGGGAGGGGAGUUCCAUUUAGUGCAAAUCCUGAUCCAGCAACUACUGAGAUGUGGUCUGAUCAUCAUAGAAAAAAUUCAGUCUCUGAUCCAAACUUGUAUCAGGAAAUGUUAACUCCUCGCCAAUUGUCGCACAUGGAACAGGAACCCAGUCAUCACGAUUUAGCAGAGCAGCUUAUGUCGCAGCAAAUUCGACAGCAGCAGCAACAGCAGCUCCAACAGCGAAAUAUGUUGUCUAGUUUUGCACACAUGAAUGAUAGUGUAUUAGAUCCUAUGCAAAGUCAGAAUAUUAUUCACCAUCAACAAUUAGCCAACCAUUCUUCAGCAGAUCUGGAACACCUUUUGGCACUACAGAGGCAGGCCCAGCUUGAACAACAUCAACUGCAACAGCAGCAGCAGUUCCAUCAGCAGAAGCUCUUACAGGAGCAACAGCAAUCUCAAGUACAACAGGUGCUUUUUGAACAGUUGCUGCGUGGUCAAAUGCAUGAUCCUACACUUAGGCAGCCACAUGUUGAUCCUGUAAGAGCGAACAAUGUUAUUGAUCAGGUUUUAUUAGAGCAGCAGCUCCUACAUGAACUCCAGCAACGGUCUCACCAUCUUCCGAGACAUGUUGAUCCUACUAUGGCGCAGUUGAUUCAAGCAAAAUUUGGUCAUACACCUCAAGGACAUCAAACAGAUUUGUUUGAGCUGCUGUCUCGUGCACAGCAUGAACAACAGUCACUGGAACAACAGAUGCAUGCAAGGCAAUUACCUAUGGGAUUGAGGCAGCGGAUGGAAGAAGAGAGGCAUAUCGGUUCUAUAUGGCCAGCCGAGGAAUCAAAUCAGAUCUUCAGAACCCAUGCUAGUAAUCAUGAUCACAGAGGGCACUCUUCUGGCUUUAAUCCUUUGGAUUUUCAUCAGAGGCAGCAGAGGGCAUCUCAUGAGGAGCAGUUGAAUAACCUGGAGCGGAAUCUUUCAUUACAGGACCGACUUCAGCAAGGGUUCUAUGAGCCUGGUUCACUGCCCUUUGAGCGGUCAAUGUCAUUACCUGCUGGUGCACCAGGGAUGAACUUGGAUGUGGUAAAUGCUAUGAUUCGUGCCCAAGGUUUAGACAUGCAGGAUUCCAUUGGGCGUAUACCGUCGGGUCAAAUUUCUUCUGGAAUCCCUUCCCACAAUGCUCAUCAUCCUCAUGUUCCUAACCAAUUUCAUGUUUCACAUUUGGAUGCAAUAGAGGGACACUGGCCCGAGAAGAAUGAUCAGCUUGAGAGUGACUGGAUGGACGCUCGGUUUCAGCAGCUGCAUAUUAAUGCUGAGAGGCAGAAAAGGGAUUCAGAGAUCAAGAAUUCUUCUCAGGAUCAAAACUUAUGGAUGUCAGAUGGAAUCAAUGAGGAGAACUCGAAGAGACUAUUGAUGGAGCUACUCCAUAAAAAAUCUGGCAAUCAACGUAGCGAGUCGUUGAAUGUGAUGAGCAAUGGGAUGUUGCCUGAUAAAAGUCUGCCAUCUGGCCAGUACUCUGGAUCAAGCUCCUCAAACCACCUGUUCAAUCUUCAUGCAGACCAAGAAGCAGGUCUAAAUAACUCAUUUCGUGUAGGGUCAUUUGGUUCCAAUCCGGGUGAACUCCCACAGGAGGAGCUGGCCAGCAGUGUGGAAAGCAAUGAGAAAUUGAUGUAUAGAUCUAAUUCUGGAGCAUUGGCUGAUAGAGAGUCAUUUCUGGCAGGAAUUAAUGCAACGUGCCAGUCACUUUACACACAAUCUAACAUGAUACCUAAGUCUUCUAUAGGUAAAGAACCUUCUGAGUUGGACGGCAGGAAGUGGGGUUCCAAAAGUGAGGGGAUAAAUAUGGCUCGAUCUUUUGAGAAUCAAGAACGAAUGAUUGAACAAUCAGGGUUGUUGACAACAAAUAAUUUUAAGGAGAGGUCAAAAAACUUGCAUAGCAUGAAUGCUUCCUCAGGUGUUUCAGGUGGGAAUGCUAGUUUUUAUAUUGACAAAAUUGGCCGAAGUAAUUCAUUUGUUGAAGAAACUGCCAAGGAUCGGGUUCCAAUUCCACCCAAAGUGCAAGAAAAUAUUCUGCUCAGACGGCCUCCUGUCCCAAGUGCUUCAGCAUCACAAGAAGGUUUACCAGAACCUACUUCCGAUCCAGUUCUUAGAGGAAAAACUUCAAUUGCUGCUUCAGAUGGGGCAAGGCGAGACACAGUGGUUAGUCCAGUAAACCAAAGUUCUGAUGUUAUGGCAUCUUCAAAAAAAGAAAUGCAUUUUCGCCGUACAUCAUCUGCCAGUGAUGCUGAUGUAUCAGAGGCUUCAUUUAUUGAUAUGCUUAAGAGCAAUGCCAAGAAGAUUCCUCCGAUGGAUGCCCAAACGACAGCUGGAUUUGCAGAAUCAUCAGAAGGUGGCCGGAGUGGCAAAAAGAAAGGAAAGAAAGGGAGGCAAAUUGAUCCUUCCCUCCUUGGUUUUAAAGUCACCAGCACUCGUAUAAUGAUGGGUGAAAUUCAGCGACUCGAUGAUUAGGCCAUUAGUGUAGUUUCUGUGUAUAUCAUAUGAAUUUGCUAGUGUUGUAUAGGUUUAGAACACCUUGAUUCAAAGCAUCUGCAGGUGAUCUGGUAAAGAUGUGGCUUCACUUGCGAAUGUGAGUGUGUAGCAACAGGAUGGUAGAGAAGUUUUGUAGGAUCAAUAGGGUUUGGUUUACAAGGGAAGUGAUCUGCUUCAAGAUUAUGAAAACAUGAAGAAAAAGGAAAUGUUGUAUCCGCAACAAGCUCUAAGAAUCUGGUCAAUAGAGGACCUCUUACGAACCCAAGCUCAGGAUAUGGAGAUUGGUCUCCGAGUUGGAAGAGCAUGUUCUCUAAUCGGUCAAGGUUCUUAUUGGCAAAUUGGAGGAAGGAGCAGUGUUUCUAUGGUGGAGUGAUUGUACCUACUUCCUAGUACUUCAGUGGAUGCAAAUUUGAAGGGGUUAGCACUUCUAGUUUGUCGUGUUGUUCGGAGUGAACUUGAAGUUCGAAGCACUUUUCUUAAUGAAAAAGCCGAGGCAAUUUUGCCUAUACCAUUAAGUGUGGUUGCAUUGGCUGAUAGAUUGCCUGGAGGUUAGAAAGGAAUGAUAAAUUUUCUGUACAGGGUG